GAUGCUUUCAACGGUUUGUUAGAAUUCUCCAUUAGCAAAACACACACAAAAACUUGGACAAUGAUGAAUCUUUAC